rnacentral:rRNA from 1 species
GACGAACGCUGGCGGCGUGCUUAACACAUGCAAGUCGAACGGCAAGGCCCUUCGGGGUACUCCAGUGGCGAACGGGGGAGUGACACGGGGGUGAUCAGCCCUGCACUUUGUGAUAAGCCUGGGAAACUGGGUCUAAUACCGAAUAGGAACACGAGCUGCCUGGCGUGUGGUGGAAAGCUAUUGCGGGGUGUGCUGGGCGCGCGGCCUACGAUCUUGGUGGUGGAGGAAUGGCCGACCAAGGCGACGGAGGGUAGCCGGCCUGAGAGGGUGACCGGCCACACGGCGACUGAGAUACGGCCCAGACUCCUACGGGAGGCAGCGGUGGGGAAUAUUGCACAAUGGGAACGAGCCUGAUGCAGCGACGCCGCGUGAGUGAUGACGGCCUUCGGGUUGUAAACCGCUUUCGCCUGAGACGAGGCGUAAGUGACGGUACCUGGAGAAGAAGCACCGGCUAACUACGUG